rnacentral:rRNA from 1 species
GAUGAACGCUAGCGGCAGGCUUAAUACAUGCAAGUCGAGGGGCAGCGGGUGUAGCAAUACAUGCCGGCGACCGGCGCACGGGUGCGUAACGCGUAUGUAACCUACCUUUAACUGGAGGAUAGCCCCGAGAAAUCGGGAUUAAUACUCCAUAAAAUUAUGAGAAGGCAUCUUUUAUAAUUAAAGCUCCGGCGGUUUUAGAUGGGCAUGCGUGACAUUAGCUAGUUGGUGAGGUAACGGCUCACCAAGGCUCCGAUGUCUAGGGGUUCUGAGAGGAUUAACCCCCACACUGGUACUGAGACACGGACCAGACUCCUACGGGAGGCAGCAGUAAGGAAUAUUGGGCAAUGGACGCAAGUCUGACCCAGCCAUGCCGCGUGAAGGAUGACGGCCCUA